UACGUAGGGACCGAGCGUUGUCCGGAUUCAUUGGGCGUAAAGAGCUCGUAGGCGGCUGCUCAAGUCGAAUGUGAAAACUCGAGGCUCAACCUCGAGCCUGCAUUCGAUACUGGGCGGCUAGAGUCUGGUAGGGGGAUCUGGAAUUCCUGGUGUAGCGGUGGAAUGCGCAGAUAUCAGGAGGAACACCGGUGGCGAAGGCGGCAUCCUGGACCGGCAUUGACGCUGAGGCGCGAAAGCCAGGGGAGCAAACGGG
rnacentral:rRNA from 1 species